rnacentral:rRNA from 1 species
UACAGAGGGUGCAAGCGUUGUUCGGAUUCACUGGGCGUAAAGGGUGCGUAGGCGGUCGGGUAAGUCUGAUGUGAAAUCUCACAGCUUAACUGUGAAACUGCAUUGGAUACUAUCCGGCUCGAGGAAUGGAGGGGAGACUGGAAUACUUGGUGUAGCAGUGAAAUGCGUAGAUAUCAAGUGGAACACCAGUGGCGAAGGCGAGUCUCUGGACAUUUCCUGACGCUGAGGCACGAAAGCCAGGGGAGCAAACGGGG